UCGAAAUGCUCAGUCAAACAAAAUGUAAAUCUUAUCCGUGAAUUGAUCAAAGUUAAACCAACAUACGCUCAAUUUCAGCCAAUUAAAUUGGUUUGAUCCAGUUAUAUAGCAUCUCAUAUUCUUUAAUCUUUGUAGCUUAAUUACCAGCCGACAUUAAUACCCUUUACGUCACCAACCCCAUCGUCAAUGCCCACCAUCGCCAUGUCGCCAUGAUGCUACCUUGCUACUGUCAUUCGAAUUCCCCCUUAAUCGACCUAACCAACGUUUACAGCUAUCACUACUUGCCUCAAAUGACAUCACUCUACCAUCAGCUGUUUUUUUGAUUUCCAGGUGUUUGAUAAUAUCCUUAAGAAGGCCAUUUUUCUCCUUCUACCUAUUUUCAUCUUCACCACUGCAUAUGGUGUGCUUCACACUAUCCUUCCCCAUUAGCAUGUUCAUCUACUUCAUUGGCAUUUAUAUCUUAUUCAAGCUUCAAAGGGACGAGUAACAAACUGAAGUGCCAAGAUCAAUUGAAGUAUCCAAAUCUGACAUAAGGUAGUGUGUGGUGUUGUGCGAAAGCAGGAUCUACCCAUAUGUGGCUGAUUGUUGGGUCAAGAGUUGAGAAUAAGCCCUGCCCAUUAAAACAAGUAUGUAUAUUUAUCAGCUGAUCAAAAAUAACUGUGUGAUUCUCCUUUGGUUCACUCUAUUAGUCUCUUAGACGAUAUUGCCCCUAUCCCAGUUUCAUCUGUUAUGGUGAAUUCAACAUCUUCCUUUAAGGUGACCCAACUUAACAACCCUAUAGAGCUCCUAAGAAUUUACCAAUAAUUGAAUAUCAAACCUUAGAGGAGUUGUAUGCUUUUAAUUUAUUUUUCUGUUUUAGCUGUUUUUUCUAUUGUUUGUAUGUUUUCAAACACUUCUACUUUCUUCAGAGCAACUUAGAGCAGCAGGUUGAAAAACUUUUAUGCAUAAAUUUUUUAUGUCAAAGGAAUUGGAGUAAAAAAAAAGAUGUGAUAAUGAUUAACUUUUUAGUUGGAAAAAUGUGAGGGACGGAUAAUGGAGAACCAAAGUCACAUGGUUUCUAUUUAUGAAUUCAAUGCAACUCAUGUCUUUAUUCUGUUAAUUAUUUUUUGAUUAUGAAGAUAAAAUGAUAACUAUGUUU